GACGGGCCCCGCACAAGCAGCGGAGCGUGUGGUUUAAUCGAUGUUACACGAAGACCUUACCAGGGUUUGACAUGCAAGUGGUAGGAAGCCGAAAGGUGACCGACCCUUCGGGGAGCUUGCACAGGUGCUGCAUGGCUGUCGUCAGCUCGUGUCGUGAGAUGUUCGGUUAAGUCCGCUAACGAGCGCAACCCUCGCUGUGUGUUAUAUGUGUCACACGGGACUGCCGGUCUUAAGCCGGAGGAAGGUGGGGAUGAUGUCAAGUCAGCAUGGCCUUUAUAUCCUGGGCUACACACACGCUACAAUGGCCAACACAAUAGGUUGCUAAGCCGCGAGGUGGCGCCAAUCCAUAAAGUUGGUCUCAGUUCAGAUUGUAGGCUGCAACCCGCCUGCAUGAAGAUGGAGUUGCUAGUAACCGCAGGUCAGCUAUACUGCGGUGAAUACGUUCCCGGGGCUU
rnacentral:rRNA from 1 species